UUUAAGAACGUCGGUCUAAACUGACUUCAAAUUCUAUUGGACAACAAAAAUCUUUUGUUAUAUCACGUGGGUCUUCUUUUAAAAGAGCCAACCAAUUGAUUAGAAUAGUGUACCAUCGGAUAUACUAGAUGAUACAAUAACCAUAAUAACAAAUGCUUUACACUUGACAGAAUAGUUACUUCCACAAAUAUAGCAGAGAUAACUUUUAUGAAAAUGAACGAAUGUAUCUGGCAAGACAAAAAUUAUUGAUAUCCAAAUAAAUUUUGAAAUCCUCUAGUCAAAUAAAAAGCAAUGAAACAGAGGAAGGACAAAAGCAAUGAAACAGAGGAAGGACAAAAGCAAUGAAACAGAAGAAGGACAAAAGCAAUGAAACAGAGGAAGGACAAGGGACAAUUAAACAGAGGAAGGACAAAAGCAAUGAAACAGAGGAAGGACAAAAGCAAUGAAACAGAGGAAGGACAAAAGCAAUGAAACAGAGGAAGGACAAAAGCAAUGAAACAGAGGAAGGACAAAAGCAAUGAAACAGAGGAAGGACAAGGGACAAUGAAACAGAGGAAGGACAAAAGCAAUGAAACAGAGGAAGGACAAAAGCAAUGAAACAGAGGAAAGACAAAAGCAAUGAAACAGAGGAAGGACAAUUGUUCCCGAACUCUCAGAGAAAGGAUGUGAGCUAUGAUCAGUCACAAUUUGUAUGGAAACGGCAAUUUGAAUUUCCCCACUCCCUCCAACAGUUUGCAGGCAGGCAUUGCUAAUUACUUGCAUUUGUAUAACAUACAUUAUUAUGUUUUUAUCUUUUCUGUUUCAGUGCCAUUCAAUAGUAGCCAAGGAAGUCAUACAUAUUCUCACUACAACCACGAUUACUAUUACCACCACUCUGAUACAAAAUAUAAUGAUGCUGUAGCAGGGAUAGCAGUUGGAAGUUUCAUUGGUGCAAUAAUUAUAACAGUUAUUAUUGUAAUUUGCAUAAAAAAGCAUAAUAAAACCUACGCCAGCAGAAGUCAAGUGAUACACCCUCACUUACAGACUAUAUCAACGUCUAUAAGAUACAACCAGUUCUCCACAACAACGUUUCAAGAACCGCCGCCAUAUCAACAAUUUGCUGAUCCCUGUCCCCUACCGCCGCCUUAUCCAGGAAACUGUGGGUUGUACUCAAGUAUAACAUUGUUUGACACUGAUCAACCACCUCCAAGAUAUCAACAAUAAAGUU